GACGAACGCUGGCGGCGUGCUUAACACAUGCAAGUCGAACGCUGAAGCUUGGUGCCUGCACUGGGUGGAUGAGCGGCGAACGGGUGAGUAAUACGUGAGUAACCUGCCCUUGACUCUGGGAUAAGCCCGGGAAACUGGGUCUAAUACUGGAUACGACAUGUCACCGCAUGGUGGUGUGUGGAAAGGGUUUUACUGGUUUUGGAUGGGCUGUCGGCCUAUUAGCUUGUUGGGUGGGUAAUGGCUCACCAAGGCGACGACGGGUAGCCGGCCUGAGAGGGUGACCGGCCACACUGGGACUGAGAGACGGACCAGACGCCUACGGGAGGCAGCAGUGGGGAAUAUUGCGCAAUGGGCGGAAGCCUGAUGCAGCGACGCCGCGUGAGGGAUGACGGCCUUCGGGUUGUAAACCUCUUUCAGCACGGAAGAAGCGAAAGUGACGGUACGUGCAGAAGAAGCGCCGGCUAACUACGUG
rnacentral:rRNA from 1 species